CUGAACCAGCCAAGUAGCGUGAAGGAUGACUGCCCUAUGGGUUGUAAACUUCUUUUAUACGGGAAUAAAGUGAGGCACGUGUGCCUUUUUGUAUGUACCGUAUGAAUAAGGAUCGGCUAACUCCGUGCCAGCAGCCGCGGUUAAUACGGUAGGAUCCUGAGCGUUAUCCGGAUUUAUUGGGUUUAAAGGGAGCGUAGGCGGACGCUUAAGUCAGUUGUGAAAGUUUGCGG
rnacentral:rRNA from 1 species